rnacentral:misc_RNA from 1 species
GAUGAAGAACGUAGCGAAAUGCGAUACGUAAUGUGAAUUGCAGAAUUCAGUGAAUCAUCGAGUCUUUGAACGCACAUUGCGCCCCCUGGUAUUCCGGGGGGCAUGCCUGUCCGAGCGUCAUUGCUGCCCUCAAGCACGGCUUGUGUGUUGGGCCUCCGUCCUCCUCCCGGGGGACGGGCCCGAAAGGCAGCGGCGGCACCGCGUCCGGUCCUCGAGCGUAUGGGGCUUCGUCACCCGCUCUUGUAGGCCCGGCCGGCGCUUGCCGACACAUCAAUCUUUUUUCCAGGUUGACCUCGGAUCAGGUAGAGAUACCCGCUGAACUUAAGCAUAUCAAUAAGCGGAGGA